rnacentral:rRNA from 1 species
AGAUUGAACGCUGGCGGCAUGCCUAACACAUGCAAGUCGAACGGGAGUAGCAAUACUCUAGUGGCGGACGGGUGAGGAAUACGUAGGAAUUUGCCCUUAAGUGGGGGAUAACCCGGGGAAACCCGGAUUAAUACCGCAUGACCUCGAAAGAGCAAAGUGGGGGAUCGCAAGACCUCACGCUUUUGGAGAAGCCUACGUCGGAUUAGCUAGUUGGUGAGGUAAUGGCUCACCAAGGCGACGAUCCGUAACUGGUCUGAGAGGAUAAUCAGUCACACCGGAACUGAGACACGGUCCGGACUCCUACGGGAGGCAGCAGUGGGGAAUAUUGGACAAUGGGCGCAAGCCUGAUCCAGCAAUGCCGCGUGUGUGAAGAAGGCCUUCGGUUGUAAAGCACUUUAAGUUGGGAAGAAAAAACGUACGACUCGUAACUACAGUGAGCUUGACGUACCGACAGAAUAAGCACCGGCUAACUCUGUGCCAGCAGCCGC